CGAAAGAAUAAACAAAGAAAUUCAUCGAGGCAUGCUAAUAAGCGUCUACAUCUCUAAGGAUGCAAAAGAAUAAAUUACGACAUGCCAAAAAGAUCAGGUUCCAAAUUGUGACAAGAGUUAAUUAGCUAACAACCCUCAAAUGUUCAUUAGAUAGCUACUACAAAUAUGUGUAAGAACUUCAAGCAAUGAUCCUCUACUUAUUUGAGCUGUUGGAAUAUUGCAAUAUACAGUACGUUGCGAGCGACAUUUGAUGUGUGCGUUCGCGUAUAAUUAACCCAAGAAAAUUCAAAAUGGCCGACAUAUAUAUAUAUUCGAAGGUCAAACUUUUCUGGAUCCAG
rnacentral:lncRNA from 1 species